rnacentral:rRNA from 1 species
UACGAAGGGUGCAAACGUUGCUCGGAAUUAUUGGGCGUAAAGCGCACGUAGGCGGCAUUGCAAGUCGGAUGUGAAAUCCCCUCGGCUUAACCAAGGAAGUGCAUCCGAAACUGCUGUGCUUGAGUACUUAAGAGGAUCGCGGAAUUCCCGGUGUAGAGGUGAAAUUCGUAGAUAUCGGGAGGAACACCAGUGGCGAAGGCGGCGAUCUGGGAAGAUACUGACGCUGAGGUGCGAAAGCGUGGGGAGCAACAGG